rnacentral:rRNA from 1 species
CUAACAAGGAUUCCCUUAGUAGCUGCGAGCGAACAGGGAAGAGCCCAGCACUGAAUCCCGCGGCCGACAUCGGACGCCGGGAAAUGUGGUGUUAGGGAGGAUCCGUUUAUCCCGAGGUCGUGUGCGGUGCGUCCAAGUCCUUCUUGAACGGGGCCACAGCCCAUAGAGGGUGCCAGGCCCGUAGUGACCACUGCCGAUCGCGGGAGGAUCUCUCCUAAGAGUCGGGUUGCUUGAGAGUGCAGCCCUAAGUGGGUGGUAAACUCCAUCUAAGGCUAAAUAUAACCACGAGACCGAUAGCGAACAAGUACCGUGAGGGAAAGUUGAAAAGCACUUUGAAGAGAGAGUUCAAGAGUACGUGAAACCGUUCAGGGGUAAACCUGAGAAACCCGAAAGGUCGAAUGGGGAAAUUCAUUCGCGUUUCGAUUGUCGGCGUUMAACUGAUGCGUGACUAACGGGGUACGCUUCGUGAGCACCUUCAGUUUUUCGAACCGACUUCGAACGCGUGCACUUUUCCCCUAGUAGGACGUCGCGAUCCGUUGGGUGUCGAUCUAAGGCCUGCGGUGGAGCUCGCGUGGACGUUUCGGCGUUCCAUACGAACCCGCAGUGUCCCGAUCGACUCGCUCGACGGUAUAAAGAUGGCGCGAGGCCGCUACACACAGUUAGCGUUCGGCCUACGGCAAGCACGUACGGUGUUUGAUGGCGAUCAGACCUAGUCGGAUCCCAUCCCCGGACGACUGUUGGCUCGUAGUGUUCUCGAACAGACCUCGUUGAAACGCCGAUCUGCGACGCUAUAGCUUUGGGUACUUUCAGGACCCGUCUUGAAACACGGACCAAGGAGUCUAGCAUGUGCGCGAGUCAUUGGGAUAUCACUAAACCUAAAGGCGUAAUGAAAGUAAAGAUUCGUCUUGCACGAAUCGAGGGAGGAUGAGCGGUUUGCCCUUAAAGUGGCCGCUCCGCACUCCCGGGGCGUCUCGUUCUCAUUG